rnacentral:lncRNA from 1 species
UUCUCUACAGGUUGACCGGAGAAAAACACCCAACCGCAACUUGAGUCGGAGGAGCUGUCGCACCGGAGAGCCCCCGCCAGUGAGUUUCGAUUUUUGUAUUUUUUCAGCCAACUGAGUCCCCUUAACAUGUUUUCUCGCAGGAAUUGAUGCAAAAUCGGCUGAAAACAGCCGACCCUAGGUGGACUACCACCAGAGCACGGCGAAGCCGAUGUGCCAGAAUUCUGGAAU